AGAGAGAGAGAGAGAGAGAGAGAGAGAGAGAGAGAGAGAGAAGAGUGAGGAGCACCAGGAGUUGGUUUGAGAAGGAACCAGUGUGUUAUUAUUAAUAAAGCACUAAAAAAAAAGUGAGCACAUCAAAGCAAACAGGGGCUAUG